UCUAACACCAUAAAGCUAAAAUAGUGUAAUUUCCCAGGCUUCCCUGCAGCAAGGGCAAUGGGAGGUGCUCUAGGUUUGGCCAGUCAGAGACAACUAUCCAUGGCAUGAAGCUGGGUUUAAAUAAUGCUAAAGAAUACAAAUGUGGAUUAAUAAUCAACCCUGUUGAUUGAAUUUCCAGGGGUGGCAGUGGCAGCAACAUUUAGACAAAGUCUCAUGUCCCUGCCAGUCAGAUUGGAAAGUUGAUAGUAAUAACUUCUGCCCGGAUAAAUUUUACAGUAUUAUGUGGGGGGUUGGUCUUGAUGGUGUUCUUGACGUGGGGGGUUUACUUGUGAUUGCUCCUUCAUUCUUCCAGAGGCUUUGUGAGCUUCAAAAUAAACUACAAACAAAUGCCUUCUAGGCACAGAUCAGCCAGAACCAUUUUCUGUUGCUUGCAAUGAAUAACCCUAAAAGGAUGGCCAUCUCUGAACUUUAUCUUCAUUGAGUAGAAAGUCAUCAUCUUCUGGGUAUAUACUGAAUCUCAGAUUCUAGGACUCUGUGACAGUGAAGUCCUUCACACAACAGAAUGGCUGGCUCUUGACACUAUUAUUGACUAAUGAAUGAUUUGCAUUAUCUUUGGGGAGAUUCAAUCAUGGAAACAGGAUGGACAAAUGGACAUUACUCCAGACAUUCAGCUUGGAGUUUCCAGGCUGUCCCAGUCCCUUGAGACCUGUCCUCACACCUUCUCACUAGCACCCCUAGCAAGCCUUGUGGGAUUCGAAGUGGAUUAUUCAAGGUAACCUUUAUUCUACCAGCACAAACUUCAACAAAUCACUGACCAUCUCCAAGAACUUCAGUGUCCACUGGAGGAAGGUGGUGCUUCUUAGCAUGGCCUGCUGAGUCCCCUGCACCACCUCGCCCAGACCUUCAGUCUGAUUGACUGCCAUCUCCUUGUCCUCUGGCAGCCUUGGACCACUCCCACCAUGCCCCACCCAUUCUGGUCUUCCUGCCUUUCUUCAUACUCUCUCUGCAAGUUAAACAUCCACCCUUCCAGGCUCAGCUCCAAUAUUUCUUCUUUGAGACACAUGUGGCAUUUUGCCAAUUUUAGAGUUUCUUUUGAAUAAUUGUUACCGUAAGAUAAAUGAUAAGUGAUAGUCAGUUCCCACAGCAUGUUUUAUCUUUCCUCACUGU
rnacentral:lncRNA from 1 species